rnacentral:rRNA from 1 species
GACGAACGCUGGUGGCGUGCCUAAUACAUGCAAGUCGAGCGGACCAAUAGAAGCUUGCUUCUGUUGGUUAGCGGCGGACGGGUGAGUAACACGUGGGCAACCUGCCUGUAAGACUGGGAUAACUUCGGGAAACCGGAGCUAAUACCGGAUAAUUCAUCCCCUCGCAUGAGGGGAUGCUGAAAGUCGGUUUACGCUGACACUUACAGAUGGGCCCGCGGCGCAUUAGCUAGUUGGUGAGGUAAUGGCUCACCAAGGGGACGAUGCGUAGCCGACCUGAGGCGGUGAUCGGCCACACUGGGACUGAGACACGGCCCAGACUCCUACGGGAGGCAGCAGUAGGGAAUCUUCCACAAUGGACGAAAGUCUGAUGGAGCAACGCCGCGUGAGCGAUGAAGGCCUUCGGGUCGUAAAGCUCUGUUGUUAGGGAAGAACAAGUAUCGGAGUAACUGCCGGUACCUUGACGGUACCUAACCAGAAAGCCACGGCUAACUACGUGCCAGCAGCCGCGGUAA